UACGGGAGGCAGCAGUGGGGAAUAUUGCACAAUGGGCGAAAGCCUGAUGCAGCUAUGCCGCGUGUAUGAAGAAGGCCUUAGGGUUGUAAAGUACUUUCAUCGGGGAGGAAAAAACAAAACUAAUAAUUUUAUUUCUUGACGUUACCCGAAAAAGAAGCACCGGCUAACUCCGUGCCAGCAGCCGCGGUAAUACGGAGGGUGCUAGCGUUAAUCAGAAUUACUGGGCGUAAAGAGCACGUAGGUGGUUUUUUAAGUCAGAUGUGAAAUCCCUGGGCUUAACCUAGGAACUGCAUUUUGAAACUGAAAUACUAGAGUAUCGUAGAGGGAGGUAGAAUUCUAGGUGUAGCGGUGAAAUGCGUAGAUAUCUGGAGGAAUACCUGUGGCGAAAGCGGCCUCCUAAACGAAUACUGACACUGAGGUGCGAAAGCGUGGGGAGCGAAACAGGGA
rnacentral:rRNA from 1 species